ACCAACCAGCCCAAGAAACAUCUCACCAAUUUCAAAUCCGAAAUCCUUCAUCUAAUCUGGCAAACACAUGUGGCAGGUUUUUCUCACCGCAUAAAAUAUGUUAUAGAGUAGUCCAUCUAUUUCUCUUCCAUGGAAGAGUUCAUCUGGUAGAUUGGACUACCACUUUUCCUUCAGGUCCCGAGUUCUCAUCCCGCAUCCAGGAAGAAUGAGGUUAUGUGGACACCUGGAGGGUGAGCGAGGCUGAGAAAAGCUUUAUUGGGCAACCAGACAGCUCUCAGAAGAGAGGUGACCUGAAGCAGGAUGAGAGACGUUGAGCUCCAAACUCAGACUAAGAAACUAUAAGAAAUAUGCUUCAAUGAAGAAGCUGUUCAAAAAUGAGUAAGAUUGUUUCCUUGAGGCAAGAAAGAAAUGCAGAAGUCUUGACAAACAAAAGAAGAGAUUGCCUUAGGGAAGGGGACUACAGUGAACACUGAGAACUUCUUCCCACGCUAAGACAAUCUUUACAGAGCAAGACUCCGUCUCAAAAAAAAAAAAAAAA
rnacentral:lncRNA from 1 species